rnacentral:rRNA from 1 species
AUUGAACGCUGGCGGCAUGCUUUACACAUGCAAGUCGAACGGUAACAGGCCGCAAGGUGCUGACGAGUGGCGAACGGGUGAGUAAUGCAUCGGAACGUGCCCAGUCGUGGGGGAUAACUACUCGAAAGAGUAGCUAAUACCGCAUACGAUCUAUGGAUGAAAGCGGGGGACCGUAAGGCCUCGCGCGAUUGGAGCGGCCGAUGUCAGAUUAGGUAGUUGGUGGGGUAAAGGCUCACCAAGCCAACGAUCUGUAGCUGGUCUGAGAGGACGACCAGCCACACUGGGACUGAUACACGGCCCAGACUCCUACGGGAGGCAGCCGUGGGGAAUUUUGGACAAUGGGCGCAAGCCUGAUCCAGCAAUGCCGCGUGCAGGAAGAAGGCCUUCGGGUUGUAAACUGCUUUUGUACGGAACGAAACGGCUCUGGUUAAUACCCGGGGCUAAUGACGGUACCAUAAGAAUAAGCACCGGCUAACUACGUG